rnacentral:rRNA from 1 species
CACUGCCGAGAAAAGCCUCUAGAUAGAAAAUAGGUGCCCGUACCGCAAACCGACACAGGUAGUCAAGAUGAGAAUUCUAAGGUGAGCGAGCGAACUCUCGUUAAGGAACUCGGCAAAAUGACCCCGUAACUUCGGGAGAAGGGGUGCUCUUUAGGGUUAACGCCCAGAAGAGCCGCAGUGAAUAGGCCCAAGCGACUGUUUAUCAAAAACACAGGUCUCUGCUAAACCGUAAGGUGAUGUAUAGGGGCUGACGCCUGCCCGGUGCUGGAAGGUUAAGAGGAGUGGUUAGCUUCUGCGAAGCUACGAAUCGAAGCCCCAGUAAACGGCGGCCGUAACUAUAACGGUCCUAAGGUAGCGAAAUUCCUUGUCGGGUAAGUUCCGACCCGCACGAAAGGCGUAACGAUUUGGGCACUGUCUCAACGAGAGACUCGGUGAAAUCAUAGUAC